rnacentral:rRNA from 1 species
CAGUCGCCGCGGGAAUACGGAGGGUGCAAGCGUUAAUCGGAAUUACUGGGCGUAAAGCGCACGCAGGCGGUUUGUUAAGUCAGAUGUGAAAUCCCCGAGCUUAACUUGGGAACUGCAUUUGAAACUGGCAAGCUAGAGUCUUGUAGAGGGGGGUAGAAUUCCAGGUGUAGCGGUGAAAUGCGUAGAGAUCUGGAGGAAUACCGGUGGCGAAGGCGGCCCCCUGGACAAAGACUGACGCUCAGGUGCGAAAGCGUGGGGAGCAAACAGGAUUAGAUACCCCUGUAGUCCCUGUCUCUUAUAA